rnacentral:rRNA from 1 species
AACGAACGCUGGCGGCAUGCCUAACACAUGCAAGUCGAACGAGACCUUCGGGUCUAGUGGCGCACGGGUGCGUAACGCGUGGGAACCUGCCCUUAGGUUCGGAAUAACUCCCCGAAAGGGGUGCUAAUACCGGAUAAUGUCUUCGGACCAAAGAUUUAUCGCCUUUGGAUGGGCCCGCGUUGGUUUAGCUAGGUGGUAGGGUAAAAGCCUAUCAAGGCGACGAUCCAUAGCUGGUCUGAGAGGAUGAUCAGCCACACUGGGACUGAGACACGGCCCAGACUACUACGGGAGGCAGCAGUGGGGAAUAUUGGACAAUGGGCGAAAGCCUGAUCCAGCAAUGCCGCGUGAGUGAUGAAGGCCUUAGGGUUGUAAAGCUCUUUUACCCGGGAUGAUAAUGACAGUACCGGGAGAAUAAGCUCCGGCUAACUUCGUG